GUUUGAUAACUUAUUAAAUCUCAAAUGUGGGAGUUUGUGUGUUUAAUGACGUUUAUGCACAAAAUGAUGGUUCGGUUUUAAUGAACAUAAAGUUACAGAU